GAAAGCCGUGUGCAAUGAAAAAUGCAAGCACGGUUUGGGGAGGGAUUUUUUAUUCUUUAACCUAUUUUUUUUAACAAGGAAAUUAUCUACUCCAU
rfam:Corchorus capsularis cultivar CVL-1 contig01788, whole genome shotgun sequence.